UAAUGAUGAGUCCUGGGCCCUAUGGAGCCAUUGUUGAGGAUUUCCAGCAGCACCCAGUCUGCAUCAACAACUUCUGGAAGCAGAGAAUCCCUGAACCUUGGAGCAAGGAGAGCUCCUGCUGCCUGCCCUGAUGUCUGCAGAUUCACUUGGUCAAGAGGAGUUCCUUCAAUGCCUGCUGUGUUUUUCAGCCAUAGCACAGAACUGUUUUAUGGGUGGAGCAUGCUCAUGCGCUAAAUCAGUGGUCUCUCACUCAGGGAGGAAGAGAGGCCAACAUUUGCUGAGGGCUUACUGUGCCCUGGGUUCUCAGCUGUCCCCACGAGGGGGUGCAAUGCCCUUGGUUUUAAAGAGAUGAAAAUAUCAAGGCUCCAAGAUGUCCAGAAUGGACUGUCUGGAAAGCGUUCUGUUAGUACUUCUUGACUGUGGGACUACAGGUCUUUGAGUUUCUCCUAAUAAAGUGAUUUCUGAUGAAAAUCUGAGAACAUCCUU
rnacentral:lncRNA from 1 species